GUCCGGGACCGGUCGCAGAGAUGUGACCCUCUCUUCGGAGCCCGGAACACAGGUGCUGCAUGGCUGUCGUCAGCUCGUGUCGUGAGAUGUUGGGUUAAGUCCCGCAACGAGCGCAACCCCCGUCCUUAGUUGCUACCAUUUAGUUGAGCACUCUAAGGAGACUGCCGGUGAUAAGCCGCGAGGAAGGUGGGGAUGACGUCAAGUCCUCAUGGCCCUUACGGGCUGGGCUACACACGUGCUACAAUGGCGGUGACAAUGGGAUGCUAAGGGGCGACCCUUCGCAAAUCUCAAAAAGCCGUCUCAGUUCGGAUUGGGCUCUGCAACUCGAGCCCAUGAAGUUGGAAUCGCUAGUAAUCGUGGAUCAGCACGCCACGGUGAAUACGUUCCCGGGCCUUGUACACACCGCCCGUCACACCAUGGGAGUUGGCUUUACCUGAAGACGGUGCGCUAACCAGCAAUGGAGGCAGCCGGCCACGGUAGGGUCAGCGACUGGGGUGAAGUCGUAACAAGGUAAGCGUAGUGCU
rnacentral:rRNA from 1 species